rnacentral:rRNA from 1 species
CCUACGGGUGGCAGCAGGGGGGAAUAUUGGGCAAUGGAGGAAACUCGGACCCAGCAACGCCGCGUGAAUGAUGAAGGUCUUCGGAGUGUAAAGUUCUUUUCUAAGGGAAGAAGAAAGUGACGGUACCGUAGGAAUAAGCCUCGGCUAACUACGUGCCAGCAGCCGCGGUAAUACGUAGGAGGCGAGCGUUAACCGGAAUGACUUGGCGGAACGGGUGCGUAGGGGGUUUGGCAAGUUAGUAGCGUAACUCCAAGGCUCAACCUUGGAACUACUCCUAAAACUGUUGGACUUGAGUGCAGGAGGGGCCACCGGCAUUCCUAGUGUAGCGGUGUCAUGC